AUACGGAGGAUCCGAGCGUUAUCCGGAUUUAUUGGGUUUAAAGGGUGCGCAGGCGGCCAUUUAAGUCAGCAGUUAAAUCGUGGGGCUCAACCCCAUUCUGCCGUUGAUACUGGGUGGCUUGAUUGCGGUCGAGGUUGGCGGAAUUCGUUGUGUAGCGGUGAAAUGCACAGAUAUGACGAAGAACACCGAUUGCGUAGGCAGCUGACCAGACCGCAAAUGACGCUCAUGCACGAAAGUGCGGGGAUCGAACAGGAUUAGAUACCCUGGUAGUCCGCACAGUAAACGAUGAAUACUUGUUUUCGGCGAUAUAAUGUCGGAGGCAAAGCGAAAGCGAUAAGUAUUCCACCUGGGGAGUACGCCGGCAACGGUGAAACUCAAAUGAAUUGGCGGGG
rnacentral:rRNA from 1 species